UACAGAGGUGGCUAGCGUUGUUCGGAAUUACUGGGCGUAAAGGGCGCGUAGGCGGCUUGGUCAGUCCCGUGUGAAAUCCCUCGGCUCAACUGAGGAACUGCACGGGAAACUGCCUGGCUUGAGUUCGGGAGAGGGAUGCGGAAUUCCAGGUGUAGCGGUGAAAUGCGUAGAUAUCUGGAGGAACACCGGUGGCGAAGGCGGCAUCCUGGACCGACACUGACACUGAGGAGCGAAGCC
rnacentral:rRNA from 1 species